UGAUUAUUAUAUAGACUUGAUAAUCGAUUUUCAAAUUAGUGUUAGAAACAAAUAUUUAAUUAUAAAUGCAUCGUGAUUUGCUGGUAUAAAAUGUCAGAAAGUUAUCUUGAAAUGUUUCUUGCGUCCAAGUAUUUGAGACAUUAAUUUUGCAAGAAUGCAUGCUAUGCAAUUACAGGCCAAGACUGUGCACCCAAAACGUCGUGCAUGAGCGGUCA
rnacentral:lncRNA from 1 species